UGUCCAUUUGCCUAUGCAAUUGAGGUAUGGCAUAUGUGUUGGAUCCUUGUUGCUCCCCUUUGUUUUUCUGAUUUUGAUUGUUCUCAUUUUGAUUUGAUUCUGUUGUCCUCACGGGCUUCUAGUUAUCUCUAUGAUAUAUUUGAUAUGGUUUCCAUGCAAAUUUUGUCGAAACUCUAGUUUUCAGGGUCUAUGUACUUACCAAUGUAAUUACUGUGAAGUGCAGUCAGG
rnacentral:misc_RNA from 1 species